rnacentral:tRNA from 1 species
GGGGAUUUAGCUCAGUGGUAGAGCGCUUGCCUAGCAAGCAUAAGGUCCUGGGUUCGGUCCCCAGCUCCA